rnacentral:lncRNA from 1 species
AAAGAGGAAUGUAGAGAAAGGAGAUCUUGUGUUUGCCUGAAUACAUGUCUCAUAAGGCUCACUUCCUACUCAUGGGUUCAAUGAUAUACUUCUUUAACUUUUCAAGAAAUUUUCUCCUUCUGCUCUAUUUAGUUUGAAUGGUUUACUGCUAUUUUAUGAUUCAUGACUAAGACUUCCUUCUGUUUAGUGGCAAAUUGUCUAAAAUGACCAAGAAAACACCGUACUUAUUCUCACAAUGAACUGCAACUUAUGGUUUUUGAGGCUCCUAUAGACCUGACCAACAUGAGAGGCUAGAGAAAGAGUUCACAUACCCAACAACGAUUUGAAAGUCUGGUUCAGGAUCUACCCAGCCACAGGAAGAACAAGAGCCACAGCUUUAUCUAAGCUUUGCUGAAGUCCUGAAUGCACUGAAAAGAGCCAAAUUCCAGACCUGCUGGCAAUGAACUGUGCUUCAUUCCUCAUGUAUGAACUCAGCGUUGGGAUGAAUCUCUCCCAGUGGAAAGAAACAGGCAAAGAAACGUGGAAAUUUGUACAGCUUGGUUAUUGUACAGAUUGAGGAAGGUGGACUCAUUGCAUUUGGAAUAAAAGAUGGGUUUUCCUCCUUUGGCAGUAUUUUUAAAAAGAUAAAAUUUAUGAUCACAAUAAAUGUCAAGCUAAUUAACUACUACAAAGCACCACUUUUCUUUAUGUAUCUACUCCCUUUUAUAAACAAAACUAAUUGGAAGAAUGGUAAAGACGCUAUAAAAAUUCAGAGACUUUUAAGCCAGGAGUGAUUGUUAUCUGCCAUGCUGUGAGCCAGCAUUUUUGGUUUCCUGCCUGCCAGACUUCUUUGUGUUCCACCUUCGUUCCCCAAUUUUUCAAGCUCCCAGCUCACUCUGCC